rnacentral:rRNA from 1 species
UUUAACUGAAGAGUUUGAUCAUGGCUCAGAUUGAACGCUGGCGGCAGGCUUAACACAUGCAAGUCGAGCGGGGGAAGGUAGCUUGCUACUGGACCUAGCGGCGGACGGGUGAGUAAUGCUUAGGAAUCUGCCUAUUAGUGGGGGACAACAUCUCG